rnacentral:rRNA from 1 species
GCAUGGUUGUCGUCAGCUCGUGCCGUGAGGUGUCGGGUUAAGUCCCAUAACGAGCGCAACCCUACCUUAGUUGCCAUCAGGUAAUAGCUGGGGACUCUAAAGGAACUGCCUACGCAAGUAGUGAGGAAGGCGGGGAUGACGUCAAAUCAGCACGGCCCUUACGUCCAGGGCUACACACGUGCUACAAUGGCCGAUACAGAGGGCAGCUACCUGGUGACAGGAUGCAAAUCUCCAAAGUCGGUCUCAGUUCGGAUCGGAGUCUGCAACCCGACUCCGUGAAGUUGGAUUCGCUAGUAAUCGCGCAUCAGCCAUGGCGCGGUGAAUACGUUCCCGGGCCUU